UUGGUCUGAUAAAUUAAUAAAACUCUGCGUUUAAAGAGUUACCCCCUUAGGGCUUCCCUGUGAUCCUGCUUCAAGAACUCAACCUCGACGUCUCCUAAUCUCAUCUCUUUGCAUCCUAUGUCGCUAUCUCUUGACCUUCCUGGUGGUUCAGUGUAUUUAUUUUAAUUUUCCAUAUCUGUUAUUCACAUUGAAUCCAGUUUUCAUGGUGACUCCUCAGUUUCCUUCAUCUCAAAUCUGUAAAUAUAAGCAGGUUGAGAUUACGAUGGACAUUCAGAACCAGGGGGAGGGGUUUAGGUUCCUGCUUUGAAAUAAUCGAUAUCUCUUUUGAUUUUUUUUCUUGCUUUUCAUUUUUGAUUUUUAGGGAUUCUGUAAUGGCAGCGACAGAAAAACGGAUAAAGAUAUUUCUGCCGAUUCAACGAAUUUCGUUCUCACUGAAGAGGAAUACUGUGAGGAGAUUCUUCUAGAGAAAGAGAUACUUCUAGCCAAACUUCGGGAUGAUGAGGAGAAAGCCAAUUGUGCUGCGUCCGGUGAAGCUCCUGAUCUGAAUGAUACCCAGUUUACUAAACUGGAUGAGCUCUUGACUCAGACCCAACUCUACUCUGAGUUUAUUUUUGAGAAAAUGGAGGAUAUCACAAAAGCAAAUCUCCUUUUUGCCUUUUUGUUGGUUAAAGAACAUGAUUUUUCUUAAUUGAGUUAGUGUGCUUUGAUAGAAUGGGAUAGAAGGUGAGACUCUAAAAGCCGAGCCUGAGAAGAAAGGAGGUCGUGGACGCAAAAAAGGAUGCUACUCAGGCCGCCAAUCUGAAGGUUAAUAAAGCUGUUGCUGCAUGAUUUCAAGAGCUAAAGGUCAUAUAUCUGCCAACUCAGAUCUGAGAGAGGAAAAAAGGCAUGAAAGAGCAGAGUGAAUUCAUGGGAAUCUUUACUCCUCCUGAUUGGAGAUCUCAACAACUUCCUCUCCAACUCUGACAAGCAGAAACUUAUUUUAUUUGCAAGGUUCGGAUUGCUCGGAAAUUUUCAGCUAUAUAGAGGGCUUGGAUGGUGAGCCAAAACUAUAUCUUGAGACAAAAUGGUUUGUACUAUGUCUCUUGCACUCUGCUGCAGCAAAAAAUUAGACAGAUCUCCCUCAUCUCUCACUGCAACCAAUGUGUCAAUCACAAUGUCACCAUUGUUGUAAAGCCCAUAGGUAAAGUUGAUGUACUUCAAGAAGCUUUCAUGGCUAUCCUCAAACUCGAAAAGGAGGUUUCUGCAAUAAUUUUAAGUUGCUCGAUAAAAAGAUCUAUUACAUUAUAUUUCAUUUGAUUCCUUUGUAAGAAACUAUUUUCACACCUAAUGCGUUCUUGCUUGCUUUCAAAUAACCAUGUUUUCAGAUGUAUUAAUCUUUUAUUUAAAUCAUAAUUAACAGAGACCAGACACAGCUAUCUAUUUUUGCGGGAAAACAACGACUCAAUAACAACCUCUUCCUCUUUUUUUUUUGAACAACCUAACAACCUCUUCCUCUAAUUCGAAACAACCGACUUUAUAACUUUUGAGACAAAACAAACUAUUAAGAAGAGAUCACACAUUAAAAAAAGAAGUUUUGAAGCAUAACAUAGUGUUAAGAAAAGGAUCUAGAACGACAAUUUCCUUUUUGUUUUUUUUUAAUUAUUUGUUCUUGUCAAAACCAGGAACCACUCUAAGACCAAAAAUAUUUUCAAGACCCAGCUUGUCAAUAAUAUUUUCCAGGGAUAGCUGGAGGGAUACGGAGUCCCAUAUUGCGACUAAACUCAUUGGCCAACUCCACCGGCAACCAUGCAGUUCUCUAUCUUCAUCCAACUCCACCAAAAAGAACUCUGUCG